CAUGCAAGUCGAACGGUGAACACGGAGCUUGCUCUGUGGGAUCAGUGGCGAACGGGUGAGUAACACGUGAGCAACCUGCCCCUGACUCUGGGAUAAGCGCUGGAAACGGCGUCUAAUACUGGAUAUGUGACGUGACCGCAUGGUCUGCGUUUGGAAAGAUUUUUCGGUUGGGGAUGGGCUCGCGGCCUAUCAGCUUGUUGGUGAGGUAAUGGCUCACCAAGGCGUCGACGGGUAGCCGGCCUGAGAGGGUGACCGGCCACACUGGGACUGAGACACGGCCCAGACUCCUACGGGAGGCAGCAGUGGGGAAUAUUGCACAAUGGGCGAAAGCCUGAUGCAGCAACGCCGCGUGAGGGAUGACGGCCUUCGGGUUGUAAACCUCUUUUAGCAGGGAAGAAGCGAAAGUGACGGUACCUGCAGAAAAAGCGCCGGCUAACUACGUGCCAGCAGCCGCGGUAAUACGUAGGGCGCAAGCGUUAUCCGGAAUUAUUGGGCGUAAAGAGCUCGUAGGCGGUUUGUCGCGUCUGCUGUGAAAUCCCGAGGCUCAACCUCGGGCCUGCAGUGGGUACGGGCAGACUAGAGUGCGGUAGGGGAGAUUGGAAUUCCUGGUGUAGCGGUGGAAUGCGCAGAUAUCAGGAGGAACACCGAUGGCGAAGGCAGAUCUCUGGGCCGUAACUGACGCUGAGGAGC
rnacentral:rRNA from 1 species